rnacentral:rRNA from 1 species
UACGGGGGGGGCAAGCGUUGUUCGGAAUUACUGGGCGUAAAGGGCUCGUAGGCGGCCAACUAAGUCAUACGUGAAAUCCCUCGGCUUAACCGGGGAACUGCGUCUGAUACUGGAUGGCUUGAGUUCGGGAGAGGGAUGCGGAAUUCCAGGUGUAGCGGUGAAAUGCGUAGAUAUCUGGAGGAACAUCUGUGGCGAAGGCGACUACCUGGACCAGCACUGACACUGAGGCACGAAAGCGUGGGGAGCAAACAGG